GGGCGGGCGACGGGGCAGUCUGCCGCCCGACGCCGGCCGGCGCACACCGCACGCCGCCCGUGCCGCCCGCGCCGCCCGCGCUGAAAACUUCGUGAAGUGACACCGGCAUGUAUCGGAUUACGCAAGUGUGCUAGCUAUAAAUAUAUAAAGAUUCCUGACCCGUAACGUUGAGCACGGCGUUAAAAGCUUCAUAAAACAAUGUUGAAAAAAUGUUUAAAGAUGCAGAAUACGUUAUUGUAAAUGAGGAAAAUGAUUACCCAGUAAGAGAACACGCAGAAUGCAACCUGGGAGUUCCGGACUAACGUGAUGCAACUUGUAAUGCUAAACUUCUUAAUCAUGUUCGACAUAGUGUUCAUAUUUUUUCUGUUUCUAAUUGCGGUUACUUGUGUGAUGAACUACAUGCCUGGGAAGAGCAAGAGGCAGGAGGUGAUUGAGGAGGAGGUGGACGAUGACGUCAUCCCGCCGCCCCCGCUGUUCGAUGACGACUGCCUGCCGUCCACCAGCCGCGACACUUACGUCGUCAUUCCACCACCGUUGGACCACGUGGCUAAUGCUAAAGACGGGUGUCCUAUACACGUGGUGUAGUAUAAGCACUGAAUAAUAUAUCAACGUAGGAGUUUAUUACGAAGAAGCCUUAUGAGAAUGUAGAUGACAAAAACAAAAUGUAGGCAUUUUUUACCAAAUCGUCAUAUAUAUGUAAAAUUUCUUGUUACGUAAGACUAAAAGGUGGAAUUUUUGGGACUCAAGAGAAUGGUAUGUAGGUACUACCAAAUGACUCGGUUGUUCAAUAGGUUUGUCGAAGCGCUACCAAGAUAUUUACAGAUACGCUAUUUUGCGUCAAGUGCGAUAUUUAAAUACUUACUUGUUAUUUUCACUCGAUAUAUUUAAGUAGAUACAUUUACCGAGUAAGGAACCGAUUCUAUAGUUAAAACGUAACGCCUAAUUGUUUGGUAAACUUUAAAUUAGUAACCAAACUGAUUUAUAUUGUGUUAGCCUAUCCAACUUAUUUACUGCCCACAUUGACAUAGAUAUCUAGGGACUGGCUUUACGGGCAAUAAUAAUGAUGCAUAAGAGGGGCCAGUACAGCGGUGUGACACCGCUACAACGCGAUUGGUUGAUGAGUUCGUAACACGCACGCGAUUGGUUGAGGAGUUCGCAUUACGCGCGCUGUUGGUCGCAACUGGUUGCGUUAGACUGCACGAAUUCGCUGGCUGGCUUGGCUAGAAUUCGUGAGUAACACCGCUGAACUAGUACCAUUUUUAGUGCCC